rnacentral:rRNA from 1 species
CAGUAGCCGCGGGAAUACAGAGGGUGCAAGCGUUAAUCGGAAUUACUGGGCGUAAAGCGCGCGUAGGUGGUUUGUUAAGUUGGAUGUGAAAGCCCCGGGCUCAACCUGGGAACUGCAUCCAAAACUGGCAAGCUAGAGUACGGUAGAGGGUGGUGGAAUUUCCUGUGUAGCGGUGAAAUGCGUAGAUAUAGGAAGGAACACCAGUGGCGAAGGCGACCACCUGGACUGAUACUGACACUGAGGUGCGAAAGCGUGGGGAGCAAACAGGAUUAGAUACCCCAGUAGUCCCUGUCUCUUAUAC